GAUGAACGCUGGCGGCGUGCCUAAUACAUGCAAGUCGAACGCUGGAGAUCUAGCUUGCUAGAUCGAAGGAGUGGCGAACGGGUGAGUAAUACAUAAGCAACCUACCCACGAAGACUGGGAUAAUCUCUGGAAACGGGGACUAAUACCGGAUAGGUAAUCGGAAGGCAUCUUCUGGUUAUUAAAGGUUAAAAACACUGGUGGAUGGGCUUAUGGCGCAUUAGUUAGUUGGUGAGGUAACGGCCCACCAAGACGAUGAUGCGUAGCCGGCCUGAGAGGGUGAACGGCCACAUUGGGACUGAGACACGGCCCAGACUCCUACGGGAGGCAGCAGUAGGGAAUGUUCGGCAAUGGGGGCAACCCUGACCGAGCAACGCCGCGUGAGUGAAGACGGCCUUCGGGUUGUAAAGCUCUGUUGUAAGGGAAGAACGGUAGAUAGAGAAUAUCUAAGUGACGGUACCUUACCAGAAAGCCACGGCUAACUACGUG
rnacentral:rRNA from 1 species